UAAACUAGGAUUAGAUACCCUAUUAUUUUAAAUGUAAAAAUUUUUAAAUAUUAAAUUAGUAUUAGUUAUGUUCUUGAAAAUUAAAAAAUUUGGCGGUAUUUUAGUCUUUUCAGAGGAAUCUGUCCUGUAAUUGAUAAUCCACGAUUAAAUUUACUUUAUUUAUUAGUUUACAUAUCGUCGUAGUUUGAAUAUUUUAAAAGAAGAUUAAUAUUCAAAAUUUUAAAUUAAAAAAUAAAUCAGAUCAAGGUGUAGUUUAUAAUGAAGAAGAGAUGGAUUACAAUAAAUUUAUUUUAGGAAAGUUUAUUUAAAAUGAAUUUGAAUUUGGAUUUGAAAGUAAUUUUUAAAAAAUUUAUUUUUUAUGAUUAUAGCUCUAAAAUAUGUACACAUCGCCCGUCGCUCUUAA
rnacentral:rRNA from 1 species